CAUAAUUAUUGAGACUAGCUGUUCCGCACUUGUUGAUGCUACCACCGUUUUAAGCAAGACAUUACCACAGCUAUCUCUUAUCACUUUCAUCACUACACAAACCCAUCUACAAUUCCUGAAAGAAAGAAAAAACUAUGGCGGAAGGAGCUUUGUUCGAUCUUGCAGGGAACGUCCUUCAACUGCUGGGCUCUAUCAUUGUUGAAGAGGUCAAACUGGCCUCUAGUGUUGAAACUGAGAUUGAAAAUCUAACCGACACAGUCUCCACUAUCCGCGCUGUGCUUCUGGAUGCAGAAAUGCAGAGUUCUCAUAACCAUCAGAUCAAAGUCUGGCUCAGUAGGCUCAAAGAUGUACUCCAUGAUGCUGAUGAUUUGCUGGAUGAUUUCUCCACCGAAGUUAUGCGCCGCAAAGUGAUGACAAAGAAGGUACGCCUUUUCUCUUCAAGUUUAAAUCCGCUUGCUUUUAGUCCUAAGAUGGGUCAUGAAAUAAAGGCAAUUAGGGAGAAACUAAAUGCCAUUGCAAAAGAUAAGGAGGCUUUUCACUUUAGUCAAAGCUUGGUUGAGCCACGAGUCAUGACUAGGGGGGACAGAGAAACUUAUUCUUUUGUACUCGAAGAUGAAGUUAUUGGGAGAGAGGAUGAUAAGAAAGAGAUUAUGGAACGUCUUUUUGAUGACAAUGUUGUAGCGAAUAUUUCUAUCAUUCCAAUUGUUGGUUUCGGAGGAUUGGGCAAGACGACACUGGCUCAAUUGGUAUACAAUGAUAAAAAUGUCCAGACAGAAUUUGAGAUAAAACUUUGGGUUUGUAUCUCUGAUGUCUUUGAUGUACAGCGGAUUGUUAAAGAAAUUUUAGAACAUUUGACAAAAAGGACGCAUGAAGGAAGCAUUGAGAUGUUGCAAACUCAGCUUCGAGAAGAGCUUAAUGGAAAAAAAUACUUGAUUGUCUUGGAUGAUUUGUGGAACGAGGAGAGUAAUAAAUGGCUUCUCUUGAGAAAUUUGUUAAUGGGUGGUGCAAGGGGAAGUAGGAUAAUAGUGACCACACGCUCAGAAAGUGUAGCGAGGAUACUAGGGGCAACUUCAUGGCAUGCUCUAAGAGGCCUACCUGAAGAAAAGGCUUGGAGUUUGUUUGUGAAAGUAGCAUUUGAAAAUGGUCAACUGCCAAAGAAUGAAGCCUUUGAAAGUUUGGGUAGGGAGAUUAUGCGGAAGUGUGGUGGGGUACCUCUAGCCAUAAGGACGAUAGCAAGCUUGCUAUGCACCAAAGCUACAGAAAAUGAGUGGCGAUCCUUCAAAGAUUAUGAACUCUCAAAAAUAACUCAAGAAGAAGAAAAUGUUAUUUUAUCAACACUUAAGUUGAGUUAUAAUCAUCUACCAUCGUACUUAAAGCAAUGCUUUGCUUAUUGUAGAUUGUUUCCAAAAGAUUACAAGGUUGAUGUAGCAACAUUGAUUAAUCUUUGGGCAGCACAAGGUUUUAUUAAGUUAUCAGAUUCAAAGCAACGUGUUGAGGAUGUCGGGCGAGACUACUUUAUGGUAUUACUUCGGAGAUGUUUUUUUCAAGAUGUAGAAAAAGAUGAAUACAACAUUAUAUCAUAUUGCAAAAUGCAUGAUCUCAUGCAUGAUCUUGCAGCUCUUGUGGCUGGGAUGGAGAGUACCAUGCUAACUUCGAGUGGGGAGUUUAAUGGUAAAAAAGUUCGUCAUGUAUCAUUUGAUCUUGAAGAUUCCUCAAGGAAACUUUCAAUUUUCAAGGUUAAAGGAAUGAAGAUACGAACAAUUCUUAUAGCUAGUGUAGGGGGGAAAUUGAGGAACUUAACUUGCAAUGCACUUGUUUCAAAUCUCAAUUAUUUACGGACAUUAGAUUUAAGUGAAUUAAAUCUACUUGUAGUGUCACAUUCAAUUGGAGAAUUAAAACAUUUAAGAUAUCUUGAUCUUUCUAUAAAUUAUAAUAUUAAAUUUCUCCCUAAUUCCAUUACAAAGCUGCUAAAUCUACGGACGCUGAAACUCUAUUCUUGCCUUUCACUUAAAGAGUUACCGCGGGGCCUUAAGAAGUUGGUCAAUCUUAGGCAUUUAGACGUUAGUAGGUGUGUCAAUUUGACGCAUAUGCCCCUUGGACUUGGGCAUCUUACUUCUCUUGAGAUACUAACGAGGUUCGUCGUGAGGCAAGGGGGUUCCAAGGCCUGCUCGUAUGGUUGGUAUAAGAAAAAACAGGCUGAGUCUGGUGGUGGGCUAAGUGAAUUGAAGGAGCUGAGCAAUUUGGGAGGAAGUCUACUCAUUCAAAAUUUGGGACAUGGAGAAGAUGACAUGGUGGAAUGUAAAGCCACAAAUAUGAAGCAGAAACAACAUCUUCAAGAGCUGCUAUUAUAUUGGAAUGAAGAGUGGGAUGAUGGAGAAACUGAAUGUUAUGAUGACAUGUCACUGGAAGGGCUCCAGCCACAUCCAAAUCUUAAAGCGUUGGGAUUGUGGAAUUAUAUGGGUGUGAGAAUUCCAAGUUGGGUCUCUUCUCUCACUAAUCUUGUUAAAUUUGAAUUAUGGUUUAAUGAAAGAUUGCAGCACCUCCCACCGUUAAAUCAACUCCCUUUUCUCAAGGUUGUCUCUAUUUAUGAAAUGUUUGCACUUGAAUACAUUUCAGAUGAAGACAGUGUUAGUAACGUGUUGGGUGCUUCCUCUUCUUCUUCUUCUUCUUCUUCUUCAAAAACACCAUUCUUCCCAUCCUUAUCUUCUCUUAGAAUAGAGGGAUGCCCAAAACUGAAGGGAUGGUGGAGGAAUUCAGAUGAUGAUGAUAAUAAUGAGCCACACCAUCUCUUACUUCCAUCAUUUCCUCCUUCUCUUUCGGAAUUAAGAAUCGUCCAUUGCCCUAUCCUGACUUCCAUACCCCUGAUUCCCCCCUCUCUGAAAAAUCCACUUAUUGGUGGUUGUCCCCUCUUACGGCUACACGAAGGAAACAGUGAAGAUUGUCCCAAAUAAUCCAACAAGAAAAAACAAUUUAUUCAGAAUCUAAUUUAGAAUCGGAGUUGGUUUGUUCACUUCCAGAGGGGGAAUUAGCUUGUUUUUCAAGUUGUUAAUUACAGAGCUACACUCAAGUUUAAGAACUUUUGGAUUUUCAAGUGCUUCUUAUUUUGUCACUUUCUCUGCCUCCUGAAGCCAUAGUCCUUGCUGCAUUUGGUUGUGAAGUCCCUGUAAACUUGAGGCUGCAGAACACCUUUUUUUUUUUUUUAAUCAGUGGGGUCCAAACAAACAUGAGUAGGAGAGAAUCUUUUCAUCAAUAUUUGUUUGGUUGUAUUUAGCAUAUAAAUGAAUCACAUCACCAAAAAAAAAAAAAAAGGAGGAGAAGAGAGAAUUACUUGGGGAGAUGACAUUUUUGGCAGUGGAAUUUCUGUUGGAGAAAACCGGCUUGUAAAGAAGGUCUGCAUUGGCAUUGAGUUUUUGUUUCUUGAACAAAUCCUCUGGCAACUCCGUCACAAUCUUAGGCUCAAAAUCACUUUCUUCCUCAACCUGCUGCUCUUCCACUUCCACAGGAUCAAGGAAUUGACUCCAAUCGCUUCGUCUCUUGUUAUUAUGAACGUGAUCGUCAUGGACAAUAUCCUCUUCUUCUUCUUCUUCUUCUUGGAAUUGUGGAAGUGGAAGUGGGGGUGGUUCGGUAAUGGCGCAGGACAUGUUGAAGGACUGGACGAAGCCGCGGAGGUCCUUGGCAACAAAUCCCUGCACGAACACUUUGCAAACAGACUGCAUUUGGUUGCACACCACGCACCUCCACUUGCUGAUUUUCUUCUUCUUCUUCUGUUGCUGCUGCUUCACCUGAGACAAAAUCUCAACUUCCAUCAAAUCACAAUCAAAUGAGAUAGAGUCUAGCUGGUUUAUUUAGUCUAGUGUGUCUGGACAUGCACAAAUCUAAUGACUCUGUUUGAAUAUUGGGCAACAUUGCGCAUGUUCUUUUCAUUAAUCAAUGCAAAGAAGAGGAGACCAACAUGCAGGGCCCCCACACUAGUAUGGGGGAUAGUGGACGUGGAACUUUUAAGCCAUUGAGAGGUAGAAUGAGUAAGGAUGGUUGAGACAUGAUUGGUAAGAGAAGCAGUUUGAUUAAAUAUCCCAAAGAUGGAGUAAUUCACUGCAAAGCAAUGCAGAGAUUGCAGCACCUCCCACCGUUAAAUCAACUCCCUUUUCUCAAGGCUGUUUCUCUUAAGGGAAUGGACGCACUUGAAUACAUUUCCUCUUCUUCUUCUUCAAAAACACCAUUCUUCCCAUCCUUAUCUUUUCUUGAAUUAUAUAGAUGCCCAAAACUAAAGGGAUGGUGGAGGAAUUCAGAUGAUGAUGAUGAUAAUAAGCUAUACCAUCUCUUACUUCCAUCAUUUCCUCCUUCUCUUUCGACAUUAUGGAUUGGCAAAUGCCCUAACUUGACUUCCAUGCCCCUGAUUCCCGAUCUCACCUCUUUGAAAGAGCUAGAUAUUAAAGAUUGUCCCCUCUUACGGCUACAAAGGAAACAGUGAAGAUUGUCCCAAAUAAUCCAACGAGAAAAAACAAUUUAUUCAGAAUCUGAUUUAGAAUCGGAGUCGGUUUGUUCACUUCCAGAGGGGGAAUUAGCUUGUUUUUCAAGUUGUUAAUUACAGAGCUACACUCAAGUUUAAAGAACUUUUGGUUUUCAAGUGCUUGUUAUUUUGUCACUUUUUCUGCCUCCUAAAGCCAUAGUCCUUGUUGCAUUUGAUUGUGAAGUCCCUGUAAACUUGAGGCUGCAGAACGCCUGUUGUUUUUUAAUCAGUGGGGUCCAAACGAACAUGAGUAGGAGUGAAUAUUGGAUAGAAGUUGGAAUCUGAUGGAAUCUUUAACCACUUCAGAACUUAAAAUUCAGACCUUAUUCAAAACUUUCGGGCCUUGCAAUUGUGCUGCAUAUCCCUGAAUUGCAAGUGGAUUAUCGGAAUCUGCUGAAAAUAAUUUAUUCUGAACCAACUGAGGCAAAAAACAAGCUUGGGUACAAAAUUUGGACCCUAUCCAAAAACUGCAGUUGUGCAACAGGUCAAGAACUCAGUGUAUCAAAGCAAAUUUCUUAGAACUUUCAAGGGAGGACUUGACCAGGCAACAAACACUGCAGGAAUUAGCUUACUAAACCGUCUCUGUUCGAACAUUGGGCAACAUUACACAUGUUCUUUUUUAUAAUCACUGGAAAGCAGAGGGGGCGAUCUGUGUAAUGGAUGGAUAAGGUGUAUGGAGUUUUUAGGCCAAAGAGAGGUAAAAGGAGUAAGGAUGGUUGAGCUGUGAUGGGUGAGAGAGGCAGUUUGAUUAAAUGUCCCAAAGGCAAAGUAAUUUGCAGCAAACUGAUGCAGUGAAUCGUAGCAAAUUUGGUAGAAUUUUGAAGGGAGGAAUAUGACCAGGAAACUAACACGCCAGGGAAUCAGCUUACUAUAAAGUCUCUGUUCGAACAUUGGGCAACAUUACGCUUGUUCUUUUUUGUAAUCACUGGAAAGCAGAGGGGUCGAUCUGCAUAAUGGAUGGAUAGAGUGUGUGGAGGUUUUAGUUCAAAGAGAGGUAAAAGGGGUAAGAAUGGUUGAGCUGUGAAGGGUAAGAGAGGCAGUUUGAUUAAAUUUCCCAAAGGUGGAGUAAUUUGCUGCAAAGUGAUGCAGAGUUAAGAUGGUAAGGGCCUCUAUCCUCAGUUUGGAGACUAUUUGCCUUAAUGUCUUAAGGAGAGCCAUUGUUUUGGGUUUAAUGGAGAAGCAAAUAGAGAUGACAGUUCAUCUAAGCAUGCAAUCUUUCUUAUAACUCCUAAUCUGUGUGACUUGAGCCUACACAUUUGUUUGUGUUUUUUAAUUUGCUUGGAUCUUGCUGCAGCCUUCUACUGCUGGAGCCUGUUCCUCAUCUCCAAAUAUUUGGAAGUACACACAUAAUCCUUUAUUUACAUGUUGAAUCAUUGAUGAGAAGACUGACUUUGAAGUCAAAGAAGAAUGAGAGAAUGAGUCAAUGACUGAAUGAAUCUAAUUUGUUCAUUAAUGCACAAAUUCAAAGGUUGUUCUGCUCAAAACAAAACCCAAGUUUAAGAACGUUUGGUUUUUCCAUUGGUUGGUAAUUUGGCACUUCCUCUCUCUUCUAAAGCCGUGGUCCUUUCUUCUUGAAUUUUGACUGUCGAGACAAAAUUCAGGAACCUGCCCUGUUCAAAACUCUCUGGGCUUGAAAUCGUGUAACAAGUCGUGGACUCAAUGGCUUUUGCAUUUGGUUUCUGUAUCAAGCAAUACAUAGACCAGGUGAAAUCUGGCACUUCUUGACCAUGAGUUACAAUUGUUCAAGAGGGCGAAUCCUGACUACAAUGCACGAGGAAAUGGCUUGGAGCUAUUAUCCAUGUAAACUAUCUUAAUAUUUUACUAAAAAAAGGUCACUAAUUAUCACCUUGUAUGUAGUCUAUGAGAAGAUUUCACAGAAUAAUGCCUUUUUCUCAAUUUCAUUUUCUAAAGCUUAAUGUGCACCAAAAACACCAAUAUGCUUUAGAGUUAUAAGUUGCAAAAUUAGAGGGACGACUUUUACUUUAUGCAUUUGAUAGGCGAGAAAGAGCAAUAUGGCAAAGAGGGUUUUGACAUCAUUUGGUAUUUGGUAGACAAAACUACUUGAUUUGGCUUUAUACAUUUUUUUUAAUAAGUAUGCAUUUUGUUUAAAAAAAAACACAAAAAGGGGCACAACCUGGUACACUAGAUGUGUACAAGAGAUUUAAUAUUCUUAAUUCAAUUAUGUAGUUCAAAUCAUGUGGGAAUUUCAUGUUUCUAAAAAGUGUGAUGAAUACUUUGCCAAUUUUUAUUUCUCAAACUAUCAUAAACAUCUUUCAAGAGCUUUCAAUUAUGUUGAAUUUCUAAAUUAUGUGUUUCUGUAUAUAAAACAGAGGAGAGUGUGGCAUUGAAACCAAAAGGAUUUUCAAAGACGGUUCUACAAAAAUCAGGCAUCAUCUUUCUAUAGAUUGAUUUUCUCUUUUAGUGCAGUCUGGAGCUCAUUGCUGUGUACAAUUGAUAAUUUCAAGUGCAGGGAAAACUUGUGCUUGCUCCAUUGAUGGAGUUUGAGACUUCCACAACAAAGGACCUCUUUGUUUGGAUGGAGGCCACUGUGUCGUCUUUGAAGUAAGUAUGAAAUAUGAAGAUGAUCCAUAUCUUUGUGUAUUUUGGAGAUAAGGGGAAGUGAGCAUUUUCUGGAAGAGACUUGAAUUAGGGAGAGGGAGAUUACGUCCCUGGUUGACUUCCAUUCAAAUGAAAUACCUUGUUUUUUUACCUGAAUUCUCCUAUCAAAUUUUGUUCCUAUUGGAGAACGUUGGAAUUUCCUUAUAGCUGAUAUAGCCGCUUGGUGAAAUUAUCAAUCAAUGAAGAGUUGGUGACCAAAGCUUCGUCCUUCCAUAUGCCCUGUAAAAGCAAAUUUUUAGAAGCCAUAAGAACUUACAUAUUCCUUGCAGCAAUUGAAGUUAAAGUUAACUGUAGGAAAAGAAUUCUGGAAGAGCUCAACUUCCCUCCCCUGCCCCCCCUCUGUUUAUAUUGAUGAGAAUGCUUAUGUUCUAGGGUCAUAUGAAUUUUACUCUGCAUUUAGUUAGGAUGUAAUGCCCUUCCUAGAUUUUAGAUCCUUACUACUUGAAGUAUGAGUGUAUUCCUUCAAAAUUUCUGAAGGGUAGGUUGUCCAUUGUCCCAUGUAUGGUUUUAGCUGGUUCACUUAAGGUCAACUUUGUGUUUAGUUAUUUAUUCUUAUAUUCAAAAUAUUCUUUUUUACGUAUUUAUUUGGCCCUAGAGCAUAACAUUCACAAAUUUUACAUAUUUAAAAGCUUGAUAUAAACAUUAGCAAUUCUUCUGGUAAUGUCCUACUUGCUAAGUUUAUAGUAUUUCUAAAUCACUGAUACCUUGUCUUUAGAGCAAAAUUUACUUCUUUAUUUUUUGUCAGAUUUAAGUAGUUUUAUUUCAUACAUCCUUGAAGAAGGCUGGAAAAAUUCACAAGUGCAACUCUGAAAUGUCAAAUGUGUAUUUCCAUUAUAAAAAAAUAAUAAUAAUAAAUAAAUAAAAAUCUAAUGAGAAGAGGGAAAUCACCACUAUACAAUUCCCUCUUAUUUUCCUUUGUAUUUACUCUACUGCUACCAUUGAGAUUUAAUUGUGUUGAAUAAUUCACUCCUUUUCGACCUUAUCUUCUCGAACUUUCCAUUACUUUGACGGCAAGAGCUUCUUCCUUUGCAAUAUUUUUACUGGAGUUGUUCAACUAUUAGAAUGGUUUUGUUUAACUGUUUUUGUUUUGGUCAGUAUGGUCAUAUUUAUCUCAUGAAGCUCUUGUUGUUUUAUUUCUUUUUCUUCAUUGUUGAUGACUACUACAUUAUGUUUUGUAGUUAAGAUAGUAAGAGCCUCUAUCCUCAUUUUGCAGACUAUUUUCCACAAUGUCUUAAGGAGAGCCAUUGUUUUGGAUUAAUAGAGUGGCAAAUAGAGAUGACAGUUCCACUAAGCAUACAACCCAUCUCAUAACUCCUUUUUCUGUGAGAGGGAUGUCGGCCAUUAUAUGGACAUGUAGUUCCCCAUAGAAGGGUUAUCGAGUGGAGACUAUACAACAUUAAGCUGACGAAGGGAAAUUUACAUUUGUCUUGAAUCUAGCUAUAAUAAGGAAGAUAUCUAAGAUCACAUAAUGAUGUCGAUUGGUCAGUUUUGUCCUGUUGAUGAAGUAUUAGUCAUCUUCAAAUGUUUUGGGAGAGAAAUGAGGACAAUUGAGUGGAUCAGGUCAUUUCAUCCAGAAUGCUGAAUUCGCAAUUCUCAACAUGUUGAAAAUUGUUGUCUGCUAGAUUUUAUCAAAUAUAUCAUUUCGUCUUCAAAUUUCAUGAUUUGGCCCAUUUGGUGGUCAACUUUGUGUGAGGUUUUGGUGGAUCAACUUAUUGGGUUCCUUAUUAUAACUAGGGUGCUCUUUGUACUUGUAUGGCCAAUUAAGGUUUUGAAUAUAUUUUUUUUCUUGUGGGGAUGGAAACAUUGGAAAGAAAUUCUACUUGUCUACAAGCCUAAGAAAUUUAAGCAAAUCAAUCAUUUUUAUUCUGUUUU